rnacentral:rRNA from 1 species
GGUUGAUCCUGCCAGACCUGACUGCUAUCGGAUUGAUACUAAGCCAUGCGAGUCGUUGUAGCAAUACAAGGCAUACGGCUCAGUAACGCGUAGUCAACCUAACCUAUGGACGGGAAUAACCUCGGGAAACUGAGAAUAAUGCCCGAUAGAACAUUAUGCCUGGAAUGGUUUAUGUUCCAAAUGAUUUAUCGCCAUAGGAUGGGACUGCGGCCUAUCAGUUUGUUGGUGAGGUAAUGGCCCACCAAGACUAUUACAGGUACGGGCUCUGAGAGGAGUAGCCCGGAGAUGGGUACUGAGACACGGACCCAGGCCCUAUGGGGCGCAGCAGGCGAGAAAACUUUGCAAUGUGCGAAAGCACGACAAGGUUAAUCCGAGUGAUUUCUGCUAAAGAGAUCUUUUGUUAGUCCUAGAAACACUAACGAAUAAGGGGUGGGCAAGUUCUGGUGUCAGCCGCCGCGGUAAAACCAGCACCUCAAGUGGUCAGGAUGAUUAUUGGGCCUAAAGCAUCCGUAGCCGGCUCUGUAAGUUUUCGGUUAAAUCUGUACGCUCAACGUACAGGCUGCCGGGAAUACUGCAGAACUAGGGAGUGGGAGAGGUAGACGGUACUCGGUAGGAAGUGGUAAAAUGCUUUGAUCUAUCGAUGACCACCUGUGGCGAAGGCGGUCUACCAGAACACGUCCGACGGUGAGGGAUGAAAGCUGGGGGAGCAAACCGGAUUAGAUACCCGGGUAGUCCCAGCUGUAAACUAUGCAAACUCAGUGAAUGCAUUGGCU